rnacentral:rRNA from 1 species
GACGAACGCUGGCGGCGUGCUUAACACAUGCAAGUCGAACGGAAAGGCCCUGCUUUUGUGGGGUGCUCGAGUGGCGAACGGGUGAGUAACACGUGAGUAACCUGCCCUUGACUUUGGGAUAACUUCAGGAAACUGGGGCUAAUACCGGAUAGGAGCUCCUGCUGCAUGGUGGGGGUUGGAACGUUUCGGCGGUUGGGGAUGGACUCGCGGCUUAUCAGCUUGUUGGUGGGGUAGUGGCUUACCAAGGCUUUGACGGGUAGCCGGCCUGAGAGGGUGACCGGCCACAUUGGGACUGCGAUACGGCCCAGACUCCUACGGGAGGCAGCAGUGGGGAAUAUUGCACAAUGGGCGGAAGCCUGAUGCAGCAACGCCGCGUGCGGGAUGACGGCCUUCGGGUUGUAAACCGCUUUCGCCUGUGACGAAGCGUGAGUGACGGUAAUGGGUAAAGAAGCACCGGCUAACUACGUG